rnacentral:rRNA from 1 species
GAGUUUGAUCCUGGCUCAGGAUGAACGCUGGCGGCGUGCUUAACACAUGCAAGUCGAACGGAAAGGCCGAAGCUUGCUUCGGUACUCGAGUGGCGAACGGGUGAGUAACACGUGGGUGAUCUGCCCUGUACUUCGGGAUAAGCUUGGGAAACUGGGUCUAAUACCGGAUAUGACGAUCUCUUGGAUGGGGUUGUGGAAAGCUUUUGCGGUAUGGGAUGAGCUCGCGGCCUAUCAGCUUGUUGGUGGGGUAAUGGCCUACCAAGGCGUCGACGGGUAGCCGGCCUGAGAGGGUGUACGGCCACAUUGGGACUGAGAUACGGCCCAGACUCCUACGGGAGGCAGCAGUGGGGAAUAUUGCACAAUGGGCGCAAGCCUGAUGCAGCGACGCCGCGUGGGGAAUGACGGCCUUCGGGUUGUAAACUCCUUUCGCAAUCGACGAAGCCUUUGUGGUGACGGUAGGUUGAGAAGAAGCACCGGCUAACUACGUGCCAGCAGCCGCGGUAAUACGUAGGGUGCGAGCGUUGUCCGGAAUUACUGGGCGUAAAGAGCUCGUAGGUGGUUUGUCGCGUCGUUUGUGGAAUACCGCAGCUUAACUGCGGGGUUGCAGGCGAUACGGGCAUAACUUGAGUGCUGUAGGGGAGACUGGAAUUCCUGGUGUAGCGGUGGAAUGCGCAGAUAUCAGGAGGAACACCGAUGGCGAAGGCAGGUCUCUGGGCAGUAACUGACGCUGAGGAGCGAAAGCAUGGGGAGCGAACAGGAUUAGAUACCCUGGUAGUCCAUGCCGUAAACGGUGGGCGCUAGGUGUGAG